rnacentral:rRNA from 1 species
GACGAACGCUGGCGGCGUGCUUAACACAUGCAAGUCGAGCGGUAAGGCCCUUUCGGGGGUACACGAGCGGCGAACGGGUGAGUAACACGUGGGUGACCUGCCCUCAGCUCUGGGAUAAGCCUGGGAAACCGGGCCUAAUACUGGAUAUGACUCCAUGACGCAUGUUGUGGGGCGGAAAGCCUUGUGCGGCUGAGGAUGGGCCCGCGGCCUAUCAGCUUGUUGGUGGGGUGANGGCCUACCAAGGCGACGACGGGUAGCCGGCCUGAGAGGGCGACCGGCCACACUGGGACUGAGACACGGCCCAGACUCCUACGGGAGGCAGCAGUGGGGAAUCUUGCGCAAUGGGCGAAAGCCUGACGCAGCGACGCCGCGUGAGGGAUGACGGCCU